UACGUAGGGGGCAAGCGUUGUCCGGAAUUACUGGGCGUAAAGCGCGCGCAGGCGGCCCGCAAGGUGUCACGUGAAAGCCCCGGGCUCAACCCGGGAGGGUCGUGGCAAACCGGCGGGCUUGAGGCCGGUAGAGGUGGGUGGAACUCCUGGUGGAGUGGUGAAAUGCGUAGAGAUCAGGAAGAACACCCGUGGCGAAGGCGGCCCACUGGGCCGGUACUGACGCUGAGGCGCGAAGGCGUGGGGAGCGAACGGG
rnacentral:rRNA from 1 species